GCCACCACUUUACCUGUGAAUAGUCCCCCUGUAUGCAGUGCAGAUCGCAUGGUUUUUAAUGUAUUUAAUUGUUAAACUAGUUAUAUAAAUUUAUCUGCAACUUCCCGCCCGUUUUUGAGAAAACCGCCGCCAUCUUUGUAAAGUAAGCACUGUUCGCUUCAACAUGAGCAUGCGCAUGUGUGAAAAAUUCCCUUUCUAGGCAGGUGUCAUUGCAUUUGCAUAGAGUACACAAACCUGUCCUGAUGCACAGCCACAGAGAAAGAUCACUACACAAACAGUAAGAAUUUGUUUGCCCCUCACUGCGCUCUGGUUGCACUCGCUCCAAUGCUGCUGAUGUAAAUGUGUCUAGAGCGUUGUGGGCAAGUCAUGAAAAAAGGGGUGGAGAGGUUUAGGUUUGUAACAUGCGCACGCAGAGAGAGUGAUAAAAAAGUAUACUGAACUGAAUCUCUAUGCUGCCCGAGGCAGCGGGAUGGGCACAAUAUAUUUUCAGCAUCCAACCCCCAGACUGGCUUUGUGAAGGAACGGAAGUGCGUUUAUUACAGACUGAUAGGGAGUGACGUUGCAAGCAUUUCGCGCUAAAAACCGCCGCCAUUAACUAGCCUUAUGCAGGAGAAGAAGCUGAUAGCUUGCAUGACAUAAAUUAGCCAAUCGCGUCCAGCCUAUUAGCAUAAUCGCGCCAAAAGUCUAAGCGCUGAUAGUGUGAUGUAUUUACAUAUAAAGGCUUUCCUGUUCCUGUCUGCCACUCCCUGCUGAUUUCUUGAAAGGAGGGGUCCUGCUGUGCAGCUCUGAUGUAGGAUGUGGGAAGUCCUGGAGGAGGAUGCGUAGACGGAUUUCGGUGUGGAGGAGGGAUAUGUUUCUGGGCAGUGCUCAGACCAGGAGGUUGUGGACAUGGAGGAAGUCAUUCAGUCUUUUUUAAGCAUUUCCAGUGAUCCCAGUAUGGAUGCCUCUAGCACAGUGACGGGUUGGAAUGUGCAGACUCAAAUCACCAAUGUACAGAGACCAAUACUUUUCUGAAUUGUCUUCAAUUCUGGCUUAAAGCCUAUCUUUCUGACAGAAGAAGCUACGGUUGGUAGCGAAAUGGCUGUUGAGGUACGGUGGUGCACUUGGGAGACGGGGCCCCUCUCUGAGGAUUAAUGGCGCACACAUCACACAGUGGAGCAUAUGGCCUGAGGCUGGAUUAAUAUCCAGGACUUCACACACUGGCAAUAUGGUCAUAUUGCUAGACAGUGUCCAAAUAAAUCACAAUAGGAUAUUGUGGGAGUCUCCGAUUUAGAAGAAGAAUAUAAGGUAAAUUUACAUUUAUUAAAUGAAAUGCCAUUUAAAAUUUGUGAUUUGUAAUUUGAUAAAUGGUUCUUCAGUUCCUUGUCUUGUAGAUACCGGAGCUACUCAAACACUUUUUAAUCCAAAAGACUUGGCUACUCAGCUUCCUAGAACUGGUAAAACUAUUACUACAGUAGGAGUAAUCAUAUACAAGAAUUACCCUUAUCCAAGGAAGUGUCUAUUACAAUGGGGCUUUUAUCAGAACAUCACAGUUUUCUCCUUUCAUCGGAUGCUCACAUAAAUUCAUUGGGGAUCAUUGCGAGCGAGAAGAGUUUUUCCUAGUAUAUUGCUAUUGAUAAUAUUGCUGAUCAAGAAUUUUAUUAAUGAUUACAGAUUUAAGAAAUGCCAGAUAAUAUAAACUCUGUGGGUGUUGGAGAGUGGGAUAUUGAUAUUAGUUUAUUACUGUAUUCAUCCUGUAAUAUGCUUUUCUGUUUGAUUCUCCAGGGAUCAUUGCGAGCGAGAAGAGUUUUUCCUAGUAUAUUGCUAUUGAUAAUAUUGCUGAUCAAGAAUUUUAUUAAUGAUUACAGAUUUAAGAAAUGCCAUUUAUUCUUAAAAAUGUAAUUAUAUGUGUUUGUUUCCUGUAUGUUGUGUUCUGCUAAUUGGUAGUUAUAGUAUAUUUCAAGCAAAAGGAAAUACAAUCUUGCUUCACCUUCCUGAGAAUUCAGAUCCCAAGAUGAACAGUGUGGAAUUCCUUCAGUGCCAAUAUUUACAUCUACAUAAACUUCUAAGAAGAAUGAAGAAAUAUAAAGGACUUUCAAUUGUUGUGCUAUUUUGCCUGCAUAUAUUUGGGACUUUACAGUUCAUUACACACCAUGCUAUUAAAAUGUGUGAAACUGCAGUUGAAUAAUACAGAAUGUUGGAAUUGUUUGGAAAUUUUUAUGAAUGUUGGGUUUAAAGUGAUUAUAAUGCAAAGGUUUAUAUAAUUGUGUGUGGUCCUUUACAGGACCAAAGGGAGGAAUGUAAGGGUUAAUAAGAAUUUGGAGAAAAUCAAGGAGAAACUCUUCAUGUCCUUAAAAGGGAAUCUGUGCAGGCUGCCACAUGUCUUUAUGUUUAACCUCUGACCUAGGCUCUUUCUAAGCUAUACAUAUUCAAUAGUUUAGGUUAUAUACAAUGUAAUCAGAAUAUACUAUGUUACCAUCUAUCCAAUGAUUUUAAAAUAUGUUAAUUUGUAACUUUGUGAAAUAAGUAUAAUUAUGUCUUGAAAUUGUACUCGGGGCCAGCAGUCCUUUUUACAUUGCUGGCCCACACGUGUGUAAUAAAUCUUCUCUGAGAGAGUUUUCUUUGUCUGAAA